AGACCACAUCACUCGAGGUGCCACAGAAAUGUGUCCCUGGUGCCACGUGGCUGGGUUCCCCCGAGGCCUGCGGGGCCCCCCACGCACCGACACACAUCCUGCUGAUGCCGUCAAAAUAGUAACCCGUCUUGCAUUCGCAGCGGAAACUGCCGGGAGAGUUCACGCAGCGAUGUCCCUUCCCACAGGGCUCAGCAGGUGGCGCGCACUCGUCCACAUCUUGCAAAGGAGAAAGAAAGCCAUGAUGAAAACCUUUAGUUUGGGUUUUUUCCCCCCAAGAUGAUCAGAAAGGAAAGCAAGAAAGGAACACAUGGACAUGGAAACAGGCAUUCCAUUUCAACACGACUUCACAGAGCACCUACUGAGUGCCGGGCCCUGGACUGGGAAGAUAGCUGACCCAGAGGCAGCCCUACCUGGCUGGCAGGCCAGCAAUGACUCUCAUUAAGCACCUCCAUCGUUCGCUGCGCCAAAUCGG
rnacentral:lncRNA from 10 species